rnacentral:tRNA from 1 species
GGGAGCGUGGCGGAAUUGGCAGACGCAGCGGACUUAAAAUCCGCCAUCUUCGGGUAUGUGGGUUCGAGUCCCACCGCUCCUACCA